UACAGAGGGGGCAAGCGUUAUUCGGAAUUAUUGGGCGUAAAGGGCGCGUAGGUGGCUUGGUAAGUCAAAGGUGAAAUCCCUCGGCUCAACCGAGGAACUGCCUUUGAUACUGCCAGGCUUGAGGCCGGGAGAGGGUAGCGGAAUUCCCAGUGUAGCGGUGAAAUGCGUAGAUAUUGGGAGGAACACCGGUGGCGAAGGCGGCUACCUGGACCGGUUCUGACACUGAGGCGCGAAAGCGUGGGGAUCAAACAGG
rnacentral:rRNA from 1 species